rnacentral:rRNA from 1 species
UGCAGUCGAGCGGAACGAGUUAUCUGAACCUUCGGGGGACGAUAACGGCGUCGAGCGGCGGACGGGUGAGUAAUGCCUAGGAAAUUGCCCUGAUGUGGGGGAUAACCAUUGGAAACGAUGGCUAAUACCGCAUAAUGCCUACGGGCCAAAGAGGGGGACCUUCGGGCCUCUCGCGUCAGGAUAUGCCUAGGUGGGAUUAGCUAGUUGGUGAGGUAAUGGCUCACCAAGGCGACGAUCCCUAGCUGGUCUGAGAGGAUGAUCAGCCACACUGGAACUGAGACACGGUCCAGACUCCUACGGGAGGCAGCAGUGGGGAAUAUUGCACAAUGGGCGCAAGCCUGAUGCAGCCAUGCCGCGUGUGUGAAGAAGGCCUUCGGGUUGUAAAGCACUUUCAGUCGUGAGGAAGGUGGUGUAGUUAAUAGCUGCAUUAUUUGACGUUAGCGACAGAAGAAGCACCGGCUAACUCCGUGCCAGCAGCCGCGGUAAUACGGAGGGUGCGAGCGUUAAUCGGAAUUACUGGGCGUAAAGCGCAUGCAGGUGGUUUGUUAAGUCAGAUGUGAAAGCCCGGGGCUCAACCUCGGAAUAGCAUUUGAAACUGGCAGACUAGAGUACUGUAGAGGGGGGUAGAAUUUCAGGUGUAGCGGUGAAAUGCGUAGAGAUCUGAAGGAAUACCGGUGGCGAAGGCGGCCCCCUGGACAGAUACUGACACUCAGAUGCGAAAGCGUGGGGAGCAAACAGGAUUAGAUACCCUGGUAGUCCACGCCGUAAACGAUGUCUACUUGGAGGUUGUGGCCUUGAGCCGUGGCUUUCGGAGCUAACGCGUUAAGUAGACCGCCUGGGGAGUACGGUCGCAAGAUUAAAACUCAAAUGAAUUGACGGGGGCCCGCACAAGCGGUGGAGCAUGUGGUUUAAUUCGAUGCA